rnacentral:rRNA from 8 species
UAAUCAGUAUUUAUAGACCCGAACCCUGGUGAUCUAACCAUGGCCAGGAUGAAGCUUGGGUAAAACCAAGUGGAGGUCCGAACCGACCGAUGUUGAAAAAUCGGCGGAUGAGCGGUGGUUAGGGGUGAAAUGCCAAUCGAACCAGGAGCUAGCUGGUUCUCCCCGAAAUGUGUUGAGGCGCAGCGGUAAUGAAAAAAUUGGGGGGUAAAGCACUGUUUCGGUGCGGGCUGGGAGACCGGUACCAAAUCGAGGCAAACUAAGAAUACCCAAGGAUCACAUUGCCAGUGAGACGGUGGGGGAUAAGCUUCAUCGUCAAGAGGGAAACAGCCCAGACCACCAGCUAAGGUCCCCAAAUCAUCACUAAGUGAAAAAGGAGGUGGGGUUGCAAAGACAACUAGGAGGUUUGCCUAGAAGCAGCCACCCUUGAAAGAGUGCGUAAUAGCUCACUAGUCAAGCGAUCCUGCGCCGAAAAUGAAAGGGGCUAAGUGAUGUACCGAAGCUGUGGGAUUAGAAAUAAUCGGUAGGGGAGCGUUCCGUAGUAGUGAGAAGCAGUAGCGGCAAGCAGCUGUGGACGAGACGGAAGUGAGAAUGUCGGCUUGAGUAGCGCAAACAUUGGUGAGAAUCCAAUGCCCCGAAACCCUAAGGGUUCCAGAGGCAGGUUCGUCCACUCUGGGUUAGUCGGGACCUAAGGCGAGGUCGAAAGGCGUAGUCGAUGGAGACCGGGUCAACAAUCCCGGACUACAAUAUGGGAGCA